GACUCUCAGCAACAGAUAUCUCGGCUCUUGCAUUGAUGAAGAACGCAGCGAAAUGUGAUACUUGGUGUGAAUUGUAGAAUCUCGUGAACCAUUGGGUCUUUGAACGCAAGUUUGCCUGAAGCCAUUAGGCAGAGGGCAUGUCUGCCUUGGCAUCA
rnacentral:rRNA from 1 species